rnacentral:rRNA from 2 species
GUUAAGUUAACAAGGGCGCAUGGUGAAUGCCUUGGCACUAGGAGCCGAUGAAGGACGGGACUAACACCGAUAUGCUUCGGGGAGCUGUACGUAAGCUAUGAUCCGGAGAUUUCCGAAUGGGGCAACCCAGCAGUUUUAAUCAACUGUUACCACUAGAUGAAUUCAUAGUCUAGUUGGAGGUAAACGCUGUGAACUGAAACAUCUCAUUAGCAGCAGGAAUAUAAAGAAAUUUCGAUUCCCUAAGUAGCGGCGAGCGAACGGGGAACAGCCCAAACCAAAGUGCUUGCACUUUGGGGUUGUAGGACUGAACAUUUGAGUUACCAAAGAACUUGAUAGUCGAGGAUUUGGGAAAAUCCGCCAUAGAUGGUGAUAGCCCAGUAGAUUAAAUCAAAUUCUCUCAGUUCAGGAUCCUGAGUACGGCGGAACACGUGAAAUUCCGUCGGAAUCCGGGAGGACCAUCUCCCAAGGCUAAAU